rnacentral:lncRNA from 1 species
AUGAAGAAAGAUGAGCCCCCUCCUACCCCCCGGCGUUACCGAGGGGAGCAGCCAACAUCUUCAUUUUGGGGAGGGAGAAGCCCGGCCGAGUGCUCGGGGACAGCAGGGGUGUCCCCUGUCCCCACAGCACGAUGCUCCCAGCCCCACGUCGCCCAGGGAUGGCUGCACAGCCGGCAGCACAUGGCACAGAGCAGCGAUUGUAGUCGGGUGACCUACAUUCCCUGGGAACGUGGGGCUCGGGGGGGCGGGGGGGGGACGCACUGCCAAGCGUGGCGGUGCCCGGGCACCUCGCGGCGUGCACGAGGUCUCCAUCCUUUCCUCCUUUCAGAGCCAGGAGCAGAGAGCACCCCCAUGAGCUCCCAAAGGCAGGGGGCCCACGAGAGGAUGUUUGGCCCUCACACGGCCAGGGCACAUCCCAGAUUCCCCCCCCCCCCCUUCCCUGCUCCUUUAGAAGCCCAACAUCUGGCACAGCACGGUGGGGGCUGGGAGGGGCCGGUGACAGCGCUGUCACCACCGGCGUGCCACCGAGGCUCUCGGCCAUGGGGUGCUGUCCCCUUCCUGCCCCACCACCUGUCACCACGCGUGUCCCCACGCCCCUCCUGCAGGAGCCACCUCCCUGCCCCCAGCGCUCCGCUAUCUCCAGGCACCAGAAGCCUCCCCUCCACUAUCAGGGGGGGCCCAGCGUCCGCCCCCCAGAACACACAGGGCUUGGCCACGCAGGGAAGCAGCACAGUGCAAACCACGUCCCCAUCCCUUGGCUCUCCCCCAGCACUGCUCCUCAGGACACAGCAGUGGCACGGGGGUCCCCUCUGUCCCCACGGUGGUCACCCGCACAGGAAGGCCCCCCCGGCCCCGCUCAGUGCCACUGCCAUGCACCCAUGGGACCGCUGCCAGCCGCCCCCCCGCAGCUCCCCCCACGGCGACCUUUGCCUCCGCCGUCCCCGGUGCCACCCUGACAACCCCGCCCCGGGGGCUGGACAUAACCCAAAAACACCACGUGGGGAUGGGGGUCCCCAAGAGCUGCAGCUCCCCGUGGGCAACCCUGGGCAGGGCAGNGGGGCUGCGAGCCAAGGGCUGCCCCCAUCUCCUCCCCCCCCCCCUCCCCACUCGCUGCCUCCUCCUCCUCCUUUCCUUCCUCUCCUCUUCCUCCUCCUCCCCGCGGCCCCGCUGCAAACAAACACGGAAGGCGCACAAAAGUCUUUGUCGGGCUCUUACCGGAGCGCUGCUGCCGUGCCCUGUGCCCCCCCCCGGCGUCAAUCCGCCAUCCACGCAGCCCCCCCCCGGCCGGCAGCAGUGGGGGGCACCGAGGAAUCUGCACAAAGAAAAGUUGUUGGGUCCGCGCUGGGGCCGCUCCAGGAGAUGGUUUCCCUUCCUGGCCCAACGCCGCCCCACGUCACGGCCGCUGCGCGCGUUAAAGGCGCACGGCACCAAAAUGCCGCGCGGGGAGGGCACGGGGAUGGCUUCAACCACAGAGCCAAACGCAGCCUCACAGCACGGGGCUCUGACCGCAGAUCCCAAAGGCAGACCCCAGACUGCGGGUCCCGGACCCAGACCUCAUGGCCAGAGCCCAGAUUCCAGAUCUCGUGUCCCAGAUAUCUCAAACCCAGGCCCCAAACCCAGAGGCAGGGCCCAAAUCCAGACCCAAGGCCCCAAGCGCAGAUCCCACAUCCCAGGCCCAGACCCCCGGCCCCAGACCCUGACCCAAGGCCACAGGCCCACANNNNNNNNNNNAUGCUCCAGACCCACACCCCAUACCCCAGGCCCCUACCUCAAGCCCCGCCCCCUUCGCUUAGGCCCCGCCCCCUCCGUUUAGGUCCCACCCUUCGCCGCCGGGAUUCAAACGCCCCCUGCCGCCCUCCGCCAUUGGCUGGCUCCGAAGUGACGUUUCAUCGUGUGAUUGGGUGCCGCGCCGCCGAGUGCGGGCGGGCUCCGAAAUCUCGGGCGCCGCGUUCAAAGUCUCGCGGGAGGCGCGGGGCACGCUGGGAGCGGUGGUGUGUUGGGGGGCGUUGCCGGGGCAACGGCGGCGUGUGGGGCCGGGGCUGCGGGUUCCGGGGGGGGUAUGGGGGUACGUGUGGGGCUGCGUUAAGGCCAAGGGACACGUGUGGGGGCAAACUGGGGGCAUUGGGACACGUAUCCAGUGGGGUGAGAGGAUGCGUGAGGCUCUGCUGA